rnacentral:rRNA from 1 species
CCUACGGGUGGCAGCAGUGAGGAAUAUUGGUCAAUGGACGAGAGUCUGAACCAGCCAAGUAGCGUGAAGGAUGACUGCCCUAUGGGUUGUAAACUUCUUUUAUAUGGGAAUAAAAUGUUCCACGUGUGGGAUUUUGUAUGUACCAUAUGAAUAAGGAUCGGCUAACUCCGUGCCAGCAGCCGCGGUAAUACGGAGGAUACGAGCGUUAUCCGGAUUUAUUGGGUUUAAAGGGAGCGUAGGUGGAUUGUUAAGUCAGUUGUGAAAGUUUGCGGCUCAACCGUAAAAUUGCAGUUGAAACUGGCAGUCUUGAGUAGAGUAGAGGUGGGCGGAAUUCGUGGUGUAGCGGUGAAAUGCUUAGAUAUCACGAAGAACUCCGAUUGCGAAGGCAGUUCACUGGACUGCAACUGACACUGAGGCUCGAAAGUGUGGGUAUCAAACAGGAUUAGAUACCCGAGUAGUC